UUUAUGGAGAGUUUGAUCCUGGCUCAGGAUGAACGCUGGCGGCGUGCCUAAUACAUGCAAGUCGAGCGAACGGACGAGAAGCUUGCUUCUCUGAUGUUAGCGGCGGACGGGUGAGUAACACGUGGAUAACCUACCUAUAAGACUGGGAUAACUUCGGGAAACCGGAGCUAAUACCGGAUAAUAUUUUGAACCGCAUGAUUCAAAAGUGAAAGACGGUCUUGCUGUCACUUAUAGAUGGAUC
rnacentral:rRNA from 1 species